rnacentral:rRNA from 1 species
CUGAGUACGGCGGAACACGUGAAAUUCCGUCGGAAUCCGGGAGGACCAUCUCCCAAGGCUAAAUACUCCCUAGUGACCGAUAGUGAACCAGUACCGUGAGGGAAAGGUGAAAAGCACCCCGGAAGGGGAGUGAAACAGUUCCUGAAACCGUGUGCCUACAAGUAGUUAGAGCCCGUUAAUGGGUGAUAGCGUGCCUUUUGUAGAAUGAACCGGCGAGUUACGAUUUGUUGCAAGGUUAAGCGGAAAAAGCGGAGCCGUAGCGAAAGCGAGUCUGAAUAGGGCGCAUAAGUAACAGGUCGUAGACCCGAAACCAGGUGAUCUACCCAUGUCCAGGAUGAAGGUAAGGUAAUACUUACUGGAGGUCCGAACCCACGCACGUUGAAAAGUGCGGGGAUGAGGUGUGGGUAGCGGAGAAAUUCCAAUCGAACUUGGAGAUAGCUGGUUCUCUCCGAAAUAGCUUUAGGGCUAGCCUCGAGGUAAAGAGUCAUGGAGGUAGAGCACUGUUUGGACUAGGGGCCCUUCUCGGGUUACCGAAUUCAGAUAAACUCCGAAUGCCAUGUACUUAUACUCGGGAGUCAGACUGCGAGUGAUAAGAUCCGUAGUCGAAAGGGAAACAGCCCAGACCACCAGUUAAGGUCCCCAAAUAUAUGUUAAGUGGAAAAGGAUGUGGGGUUGCUUAGACAACCAGGAUGUUGGCUUAGAAGCAGCCACCAUUGAAAGAGUGCGUAAUAGCUCACUGGUCGAGUGACCCCGCGCCGAAAAUGUACCGGGGCUAAACAUAUUACCGAAACUGUGGAUGAACCUCUUUAGAGGUUCGUGGUAGGAGAGCGUUCUAAGGGCGGUGAAGUCAGACCGGAAGGACUGGUGGAGCGCUUAGAAGUGAGAAUGCCGGUAUGAGUAGCGAAAGAAGGGUGAGAAUCCCUUCCACCGAAUAUCUAAGGUUUCCUGAGGAAGGCUCGUCCGCUCAGGGUUAGUCGGGACCUAAGCCGAGGCCGAUAGGCGUAGGCGAUGGACAACAGGUAGAGAUUCCUGUACCAGUGCUAAUUGUUUAACCGAUGGGGUGACACAGAAGGAUAGGGAAUCGCACGAAUGGAAAUGUGCGUCCAAGCAGUGAGUGUGAGAAGUAGGCAAAUCCGCUUCUCGCGAAGCAUGAGCUGUGAUGGGGAAGGAAAUUAAGUACGGAAGUUCCUGAUUUCACGCUGUCAAGAAAAGCCUCUAGGAAGAGUAGUACUGCCCGUACCGCAAACCGACACAGGUAGAUGAGGAGAGAAUCCUAAGGUGAGCGAGAGAACUCUCGUUAAGGAACUCGGCAAAAUGACCCCGUAACUUCGGGAGAAGGGGUGCUCUAUUAGGGUGCAAGCCCGAGAGAGCCGCAGUGAAUAGGCCCAGGCGACUGUUUAGCAAAAACACAGGUCUCUGCAAAACCGUAAGGUGACGUAUAGGGGCUGACGCCUGCCCGGUGCUGGAAGGUUAAGAGGAGUGCUUAGCUUCGGCGAAGGUACGAAUUGAAGCCCCAGUAAACGGCGGCCGUAACUAUAACGGUCCUAAGGUAGCGAAAUUCCUUGUCGGGUAAGUUCCGACCCGCACGAAAGGCGCAACGAUCUGGGCACUGUCUCAACGAGAGACUCGGUGAAAUUAUAGUACCUGUGAAGAUGCAGGUUACCCGCGACAGGACGGAAAGACCCCGUGGAGCUUUACUGCAACCUGAUAUGGAAUGUUUGUACCGCUUGUACAGGAUAGGUAGGAGCCGAAGAGACGUGUGCGCUAGCAUACGAGGAGGCAAUGGUGGGAUACUACCCUGGCUGUAUGACCAUUCUAACCCGCCACGCUUAGCGCGUGGGGAGACAGUGUCAGGUGGGCAGUUUGACUGGGGCGGUCGCCUCCUAAAGAGUAACGGAGGCGCCCAAAGGUUCCCUCAGAAUGGAUGGAAAUCAUUCGCAGAGUGUAAAGGCACAAGGGAGCUUGACUGCGAGACUGACAAGUCGAGCAGGGACGAAAGUCGGGCUUAGUGAUCCGGUGGUUCCGCAUGGAAGGGCCAUCGCUCAACGGAUAAAAGCUACCCCGGGGAUAACAGGCUUAUCUCCCCCAAGAGUCCACAUCGACGGGGAGGUUUGGCACCUCGAUGUCGGCUCGUCGCAUCCUGGGGCUGUAGUCGGUCCCAAGGGUUGGGCUGUUCGCCCAUUAAAGCGGCACGCGAGCUGGGUUCAGAACGUCGUGAGACAGUUCGGUCCCUAUCCGUCGCGGGCGCAGGAAAUUU